UAAUACUGGGGGUGCGAGCGUUGUCCGGAAUCACUGGGCGUAAAGGGUCCGUAGGCGUCUCAAUAAGUCAUUUGUUAAAGACACCGGCUUAACCGGUGGGCUGCAUAUGAAACUGUUGAGAUAGAGUAUAGGAGAGGAAAGUGGAAUUCCUGGUGUAGCGGUGACAUGCGUAGAUAUCAGGAGGAACACCAAUGGCGAAGGCAACUUUCUGGCCUAUUACUGACGCUGAGGGACGAAAGCGUGGGGAGCAAACAGGAUUAGAUACCCUGGUAGUCCACGCCGUAAACGAUGAGUACUUGGUGUCGGGGGAUUCGACCCCUUCGGUACCGGAGCUAACGCAUUAAGUACUCCGCCUGGGAACUACGACCGCAAGGUUG
rnacentral:rRNA from 1 species